UGUUGGACACAAUGCACGUCGAGUGUCCGGCUGUAACAAACUAUUGACAAAUUAACAUCGUCGUCUAAUAGUGGCUCAUACCAUCACCUACAGCCUUACCAUGGAAAAAUCGGUUUCGUGCGAAAUAAAUGAGAAUGAAAAUGGGGCUGUGCAUCUGCUCGAAGUGAAAAAAAAAA